AUUCGGAAUCAUUGGGCGUAAAGGGCGCGUAGGCGGCUUCAUAAGUCUUGGGUGAAAGCCCUCGGCUCAACCGAGGAAUUGCCUUGGAUACUGUGAAGCUCGAGGCUGGAAGAGGGCAGUGGAAUUCCAGGUGUAGCGGUGAAAUGCGUAGAUAUCGGAAGGAACGCCGGUGGCGAAAGCGACGUGCUGGACCACUACUGACGCUGAGGAACGAAAGCUAGGGGAGCAAACAGG
rnacentral:rRNA from 1 species